rnacentral:rRNA from 1 species
AGCAGCCGCGGUAAUUCCAGCUCCAAUAGCGUAUAUUAAAGUUGUUGCAGUUAAAAAGCUCGUAGUUGAAUUUCGGAAUCAGUACGCCGGUCGUGCCUCCGGUAUGUACUGGUGUCACUGGUUCCUCCCUUCUGAAGAACCAUCAUGCUAUUAAUUUAGUGUGGUGGGAAAUCAGGACUGUUACUUUGAAAAAAUUAGAGUGUUUAAAGCAGGCUCACGCUUGAAUACAUUAGCAUGGAAUAAUGAAAUAGGACGUUGAUCCUAUUUUGUUGGUUUUUAGGAUUGACGUAAUGAUUAAUAGGGAUAGUUGGGGGCAUUAGUAUUCAAUUGUCAGAGGUGAAAUUCUUGGAUUUAUUGAAGACUAACUACUGCGAAAGCAUUUGCCAAGGAUGUUUUCAUUUAAUCUAAGAACGAAAGUUAGGGGAUCGAAGACGAUCAGAUACCGUCGUAGUCUUAACCAUAAACUAUGCCGACUAGGGAUCGGAUGAUGUUAAUUUUUAAUGACUCAUUCGGCGCCUUA